GUCGUGCGCGUGAGCCCCGUAGGGCCGGGGAGGCACCAGCUGCCGCGCGGGGAGGAGGCCGAGGCCGCAGCUUGAGGGAGGCCCCGGCCCCUCUGCGCCUGUGUCUGGCAGAGCUGGUGUGAGACGAGACAAUCCUGCCCCGCCGCCGGGAUAAUCAAGAGUUUUGGCCGGACCUUUGAGCAUACACCGAGAGAGUGAGGAGCCAGACGACAAGCACACACUAUGGCGCUGAAACGGAUUAAUAAGGAACUUAGUGAUUUGGCCCGUGACCCUCCAGCACAAUGUUCUGCAGGUCCAGUUGGGGAUGAUAUGUUUCAUUGGCAAGCCACAAUUAUGGGACCUGUAAGUAUUAAGAAUUUUUAAAUUUAGUUUUAAGUGAAAAUCCAGCAUUGAUUUGGUUGUAAUUUUUAACUUGGUCUGUAGGUUUAUUUUAUCAUAUAGUUAAUUCUAUUUUGGAUAUUCCAUAGUUGUACUGCAUUUGAAAGAAAAAACACAAUGAGUUAGUCAUUUGCUACGUGUACUUUGUGUCUAUCCCUGUGUUCACGUUCUAGAGUAUAGCCAUCUCUAUGACCUACCAAACAUCU
rnacentral:sRNA from 1 species